rnacentral:rRNA from 1 species
CUUGGUCAUUUAGAGGAAGUAAAAGUCGUAACAAGGUUUCCGUUGGUGAACCAGCGGAAGGAUCAUUACUGAGAUCGUGCCCUCACGGGUAGACCUCCCACCCUGUUUAACUACCAUUGUUGCUUUGGCAGGCCCGCCUCCGGGCUCCCGGCUCCGGCUGGGGAGCGCCUGCCAGAGGCCCCCCAACCCUAAUGUAUACGUGUCGUCUGAGUACUAUAUAAUAAGUUAAAACUUUCAACAACGGAUCUCUUGGUUCUGGCAUCGAUGAAGAACGCAGCGAAAUGCGAUAAGUAAUGUGAAUUGCAGAAUUCAGUGAAUCAUCGAAUCUUUGAACGCACAUUGCGCCCCUUGGUAUUCCGGGGGGCAUGCCUGUUCGAGCGUCAUUUCAACCCUCAAGCCUAGCUUGGUCUUGGGCUCUGCCGGCAACGGCUUGCCUUAAAAUUAGUGGCGGCGCCAUCGAGCUCUACGCGUAGUAAUACUCUCUCGCGUCUGAGCCUCGGUGGACGCUUGCCAGCAACCCCCAACUUUCUAUGGUUGACCUCGGAUCAGGUAGGGAUACCCGCUGAACUUAAGCAUAUCAAUAAGCGGAGGA